rnacentral:rRNA from 1 species
CACACUAUCAUUAACUGAAUCCAUAGGUUAAUGAGGCGAACCGGGGGAACUGAAACAUCUAAGUACCCCGAGGAAAAGAAAUCAACCGAGAUUCCCCCAGUAGCGGCGAGCGAACGGGGAGGAGCCCAGAGCCUGAAUCAGUGUGUGUGUUAGUGGAAGCGUCUGGAAAGGCGCGCGAUACAGGGUGACAGCCCCGUACACAAAAAUGCACAUAUUGUGAGCUCGAUGAGUAGGGCGGGACACGUGGUAUCCUGUCUGAAUAUGGGGGGACCAUCCUCCAAGGCUAAAUACUCCUGACUGACCGAUAGUGAACCAGUACCGUGAGGGAAAGGCGAAAAGAACCCCGGCGAGGGGAGUGAAAAAGAACCUGAAACCGUGUACGUACAAGCAGUGGGAGCCUCUUUAUGGGGUGACUGCGUACCUUUUGUAUAAUGGGUCAGCGACUUAUAUUCUGUAGCAAGGUUAACCGAAUAGGGGAGCCGAAGGGAAACCGAGUCUUAACUGGGCGUUAAGUUGCAGGGUAUAGACCCGAAACCCGGUGAUCUAGCCAUGGGCAGGUUGAAGGUUGGGUAACACUAACUGGAGGACCGAACCGACUAAUGUUGAAAAAUUAGCGGAUGACUUGUGGCUGGGGGUGAAAGGCCAAUCAAACCGGGAGAUAGCUGGUUCUCCCCGAAAGCUAUUUAGGUAGCGCCUCGUGAAUUCAUCUCCGGGGGUAGAGCACUGUUUCGGCAAGGGGGUCAUCCCGACUUACCAACCCGAUGCAAACUGCGAAUACCGGAGAAUGUUAUCACGGGAGACACACGGCGGGUGCUAACGUCCGUCGUGAAGAGGGAAACAACCCAGACCGCCAGCUAAGGUCCCAAAGUCAUGGUUAAGUGGGAAACGAUGUGGGAAGGCCCAGACAGCCAGGAUGUUGGCUUAGAAGCAGCCAUCAUUUAAAGAAAGCGUAAUAGCUCACUGGUCGAGUCGGCCUGCGCGGAAGAUGUAACGGGGCUAAACCAUGCACCGAAGCUGCGGCAGCGACACUAUGUGUUGUUGGGUAGGGGAGCGUUCUGUAAGCCUGUGAAGGUGGCCUGUGAGGGUUGCUGGAGGUAUCAGAAGUGCGAAUGCUGACAUAAGUAACGAUAAAGCGGGUGAAAAGCCCGCUCGCCGGAAGACCAAGGGUUCCUGUCCAACGUUAAUCGGGGCAGGGUGAGUCGACCCCUAAGGCGAGGCCGAAAGGCGUAGUCGAUGGGAAACAGGUUAAUAUUCCUGUACUUGGUGUUACUGCGAAGGGGGGACGGAGAAGGCUAUGUUGGCCGGGCGACGGUUGUCCCGGUUUAAGCGUGUAGGCUGGUUUUCCAGGCAAAUCCGGAAAACCAAGGCUGAGGCGUGAUGACGAGGCACUACGGUGCUGAAGCGACAAAUGCCCUGCUUCCAGGAAAAGCCUCUAAGCAUCAGGUAACAUCAAAUCGUACCCCAAACCGACACAGGUGGUCAGGUAGAGAAUACCAAGGCGCUUGAGAGAACUCGGGUGAAGGAACUAGGCAAAAUGGUGCCGUAACUUCGGGAGAAGGCACGCUGAUAUGUAGGUGAAGCGACUUGCUCGUGGAGCUGAAAUCAGUCGAAGAUACCAGCUGGCUGCAACUGUUUAUUAAAAACACAGCACUGUGCAAACACGAAAGUGGACGUAUACGGUGUGACGCCUGCCCGGUGCCGGAAGGUUAAUUGAUGGGGUUAGCGGUAACGCGAAGCUCUUGAUCGAAGCCCCGGUAAACGGCGGCCGUAACUAUAACGGUCCUAAGGUAGCGAAAUUCCUUGUCGGGUAAGUUCCGACCUGCACGAAUGGCGUAAUGAUGGCCAGGCUGUCUCCACCCGAGACUCAGUGAAAUUGAACUCGCUGUGAAGAUGCAGUGUACCCGCGGCAAGACGGAAAGACCCCGUGAACCUUUACUAUAGCUUGACACUGAACAUUGAGCCUUGAUGUGUAGGAUAGGUGGGAGGCUUUGAAGUGUGGACGCCAGUCUGCAUGGAGCCGACCUUGAAAUACCACCCUUUAAUGUUUGAUGUUCUAACGUUGGCCCGUAAUCCGGGUUGCGGACAGUGUCUGGUGGGUAGUUUGACUGGGGCGGUCUCCUCCUAAAGAGUAACGGAGGAGCACGAAGGUUGGCUAAUCCUGGUCGGACAUCAGGAGGUUAGUGCAAUGGCAUAAGCCAGCUUGACUGCGAGCGUGACGGCGCGAGCAGGUGCGAAAGCAGGUCAUAGUGAUCCGGUGGUUCUGAAUGGAAGGGCCAUCGCUCAACGGAUAAAAGGUACUCCGGGGAUAACAGGCUGAUACCGCCCAAGAGUUCAUAUCGACGGCGGUGUUUGGCACCUCGAUGUCGGCUCAUCACAUCCUGGGGCUGAAGUAGGUCCCAAGGGUAUGGCUGUUCGCCAUUUAAAGUGGUACGCGAGCUGGGUUUAGAACGUCGUGAGACAGUUCGGUCCCUAUCUGCCGUGGGCGCUGGAGAACUGAGGGGGGCUGCUCCUAGUACGAGAGGACCGGAGUGGACGCAUCACUGGUGUUCGGGUUGUCAUGCCAAUGGCACUGCCCGGUAGCUAAAUGCGGAAGAGAUAAGUGCUGAAAGCAUCUAAGCACGAAACUUGCCCCGAGAUGAGUUCUCCCUGA